rnacentral:lncRNA from 1 species
AGUCUUUUGUAGCUACUUUUGCUCUCGCAGUGUUGGUAACACAAGGAAGCAUUUUUAGUUUGUGUUUGGCCUCUUCUUCUUCUACAAACUCCUUUUCUAAUUGGUUUCAUCAUUGGCCGCCGUUUAAAUGGCGACCAAAAUUUCCAUAUUCUCCACCUACACCUCCGCCAACUACGUAUCCUCCACCAGAACAAUAUCCACCGCCGAUCAAGAAGUAUCCUCCGCCAGAACAAUAUCCACCGCCGAUCAAGAAGUAUCCUCCGCCAGAACAAUAUCCACCGCCGAUCAAGAAGUACCCACCGUCGCCGUACGAGACUUACCCUCAUCCACCGCCGAUCAAAACUUACCCUCAUCCGCCGGUGAAGUAUCCUCCGCCGAUCAAAACUUACCCUCAUCCGCCGGUGAAGUAUCCUCCGCCGAUCAAAACUUACCCUCAUCCGCCGGUGAAAUAUCCUCCGCCGAUCAAAACUUACCCUCAUCCGCCGGUGAAGUAUCCUCCCCCAGAACAGUAUCCACCGCCGAUCAAGAAGUAUCCACCGCCGACUUACCCUCAUCCACCGGUGAAGUAUCCACCGCCGAUCAAGACUUACCCUCAUCCGCCGGUGAAGUAUCCACCAC